ACUUGUUGCAUAGCGGAAGCCUAACCGGUGUCAAGUUCUCUCGACUUGUGUCCUUGAGACAGUAACGAAGAUUUAUAAGAAUGCAAUUCAAGAUGAACGUGAAGGUUAUCUCCGUUUGUGUCGCAUUCUUCGUUAUCUUUGAAUGCAAGGCAGAUCCACUCUUUACUGUCGAUCACGGCUCUGAAAGUUUCACCCCUGAAGAACCCUGCUCCAGCCAGGGGGGAAUGUGCGCUCUCGAGGACUUCUGCCCCGAGGAGGACAGGUUCCCCGAGAAGGGC